CCUUUGGGUUGAAGAGGACUCAACAGCACAAGACAAGACAGACAAGAUUAUCAUGGGCUCUGCUCAAGGAUGUUACCCCAAUUUAUGAAAUUUUCCAUAUUUUC